rnacentral:rRNA from 1 species
UGGGGAAUAUUGGACAAUGGAGGAAACUCUGAUCCAGCAAUUCUGUGUGUGUGAAGAAGGUUUUAGGACUGUAAAACACUUUUAGUAGGGAAGAAAAAAAUGACGGUACCUACAGAAGAAGCAACGGCUAAAUACGUGCCAGCAGCCGCGGUAAUACGUAUGUUGCGAGCGUUAUCCGGAAUUAUUGGGCUUAAAGGGCAUCUAGGCGGUAAGACAAGUUGAAGGUGAAAACCUGUGGCUCAACCAUAGGCUUGCCUACAAAACUGUUGAACUAGAGUACUGGAAAGGUGAGUGGAACUACACGAGUAGAGGUGAAAUUCGUAGAUAUGUGUAGGAAUGCCGAUGAUGAAGAUAACGCGCUGGACAGAACCUGACGCUGAAGUGCGAAAGCUAGGGGAGCAAACAGG